AGCUUUGUGCAGUGGCAGUAUCACAGCAAAUGAGGUUUAUCCUAGGCGUGAUUAUAGCUAAUUGAAGACUUUUCCCAAUAUCCCGCUGUGAGGACUUACAAUACAGUCGGCAUUAACAUUUUUUGGCAGUCUUUAUGGAGACUG
rnacentral:snRNA from 1 species